UACGAAGGGGGCUAGCGUUGCUCGGAAUUACUGGGCGUAAAGCGCACGUAGGCGGCUUUCUAAGUCGGGGGUGAAAUCCUGGAGCUCAACUCCAGAACUGCCUUCGAUACUGGAAAGCUCGAGUCCGGAAGAGGUAAGUGGAACUGCGAGUGUAGAGGUGAAAUUCGUAGAUAUUCGCAAGAACACCAGUGGCGAAGGCGGCUUACUGGUCCGGUUCUGACGCUGAGGCGCGAAAGCGUGGGGAGCAAACAGG
rnacentral:rRNA from 1 species